UACGUAGGGUGCAAGCGUUGUCCGGAAUUAUUGGGCGUAAAGAGCUCGUAGGCGGUUUGUCGCGUCUGCUGUGAAAACCCGAGGCUCAACCUCGGGCCUGCAGUGGGUACGGGCAGACUAGAGUGCGGUAGGGGAGAUUGGAAUUCCUGGUGUAGCGGUGGAAUGCGCAGAUAUCGGGAAGAACACCCGUGGCGAAGGCGGUUCUCUGGGACGGUACUGACGCUGAGACGCGAAAGCGUGGGGAGCGAACAGG
rnacentral:rRNA from 1 species